rnacentral:lncRNA from 1 species
AAACAUUCUUUUAACUCUUCCGUGAUAUUUUCUGAAGCUCUGAAAGAAUUUCCCCUUUUAAAGAACUGACGUAUAAAACAUAUGCACUCUCCCACUAGAGAUAAGAGCUACUUUAGUCCCGUAUUUUAUUAUUGCAGGGAUAGAUAAGUGGAUAGAUGAUGUCAAGCAUUCAAAUAAUCAGACGUAUAAAGGGCUAGACAUAGAAAGACAUAAUUUCCCUGACCUCUCCAACACGCAGUCUGUUCUCACUCUAGAGGAUGAAAUGCAAAGACUCAACUCUAAGAAUGAAGUAGCCUUGGCUGUGUACAUUUGAGUAAAGAGAGCACUAUAAAAUCAAAAACCAGUGAAAUGGUUUCCAGAACACAGAACUAUUAAGCUUAAGAAAAGGACAGAAGGAACUGAAGAGAGAGGAACUGUUUUGGAGCAUCACACUUCCACCUCAGAAGAAAUAAGGAAGGAAGGAGGAGGGUGUUCCCACGGCUCUUCAACCAGGCCGGCUCUUCAGCCUACAUCCCCAUCUCAUCAAGUAAAAGGGAUUUUUCAACUGGACCAACCAGAUGGUUUAACAGUGCACUCCCACACCAUUCAACUACGCAAGGGAGAUACACUUAACAUAUGCAGUCGUAUAACACCUACUAACAUUUUCAAACAUUAAACCUUUAAAAAAGAGUUCUAAAGAAAUAGAAGCUUGAAGUAUCAUCUCUCAAGUAUAUAGACACUACUUCAUGGUGUGGUAAUAUAUGCAUAUAGAAGCUAGUAAACACCUCCAGGAGAUGCAAAAGGAAUUAGAACUGCCACAAGGUGCAAGCA